GUCUCUUCGGAGACAUCCGAUAAAAUUGGAACGAUACAGAGAAGAUUUGCAUGGCCCCUGCGCAAGGAUGACACGCACAAAUAAGGGGCGGCGCAUUCAUCC